GAUGAAGAAAGUAGCGAAAUGCGAUAAGUAAUGUGAAUUGCAGAAUUCAGUGAAUCAUCGAAUCUUUGAACGCACAUUGCGCCCGCUAGUAUUCUGGCGGGCAUGCCUGUCCGAGCGUCAUUUCAACCCUCAAGCCCCCGGGCUUGGUGUUGGGGAUCGGCGAGCCUCCGCGCCCGCCGUCCCCUAAAUCUAGUGGCGGUCUCGCUGUAGCUUCCUCUGCGUAGUAGCACACCUCGCACUGGGAAACAGCGCGGCCACGCCGUUAAACCCCCAACUUCUGAACGUUUGACCUCGGAUCAGGUAGGAAUACCCGCUGAACUUAAGCAUAUCAAUAAGCGGAGGA
rnacentral:misc_RNA from 1 species